rnacentral:rRNA from 1 species
GGGGGAAUAUUGCACAAUGGGCGCAAGCCUGAUGCAGCCAUGCCGCGUGUAUGAAGAAGGCCUUCGGGUUGUAAAGUACUUUCAGCGAGGAGGAAGGCAUCGUACUUAAUACGUGCGGUGAUUGACGUUACUCGCAGAAGAAGCACCGGCUAACUCCGUGCCAGCAGCCGCGGUAAUACGGAGGGUGCAAGCGUUAAUCGGAAUUACUGGGCGUAAAGCGCACGCAGGCGGUUUGUCAUGUCGGAUGUGAAAUCCCCGGGCUCAACCUGGGAACUGCAUUCGAAACGGGCAAGCUAGAGUCUUGUAGAGGGGGGUAGAAUUCCAGGUGUAGCGGUGAAAUGCGUUAGAGAUCUGGAGGAAUACCGGUGGCGAAGGCGGCCCCCUGGACAAAGACUGACGCUCAGGUGCGAAAAGCGUGGGGAGCAAACA